GACGAACGCUGGCGGCGUGCUUAACACAUGCAAGUCGAGCGGUAAGGCCCUUUCGGGGGGUACACGAGCGGCGAACGGGUGAGUAACACGUGGGUGACCUGCCCUCAGCUCUGGGGAUAAGCCUGGGAAACCGGGUCUAAUACUGGAUAUGACUCCAUGACGCAUGUUGUGGGGUGGAAAGCCUUGUGCGGCUGAGGAUGGGCCCGCGGCCUAUCAGCUUGUUGGUGGGGGAUGGCCUACCAAGGCGACGACGGGUAGCCGGCCUGAGAGGGCGACCGGCCACACUGGGACUGAGACACGGCCCAGACUCCUACGGGAGGCAGCAGUGGGGAAUCUUGCGCAAUGGGCGAAAGCCUGACGCAGCGAC
rnacentral:rRNA from 1 species